rnacentral:lncRNA from 1 species
AAAAUUUUUGGUGCCAACUUUUAGUGACUGAACAAUAACCACCGUUUGUUUAUAUCAUUCAUUUUUAAUUCUAGCUGCUAAAAUCCCUAUCAACUCAAAUCAGUAGGAAUCUUAUUAGGGUGUAUUUCUUCCCUCUAGCCUGAACACCCAUUUGGUACAAGACCAGCGGCUGCCCCUCAUAUAUGUUAGAGAUGAGAGCUAGAUCAGUAGUGUUACCAAAGUGCCUGAUUCAUCUUACCAUUGGCUCAAAUAUGAAAUGCUUGAGACAGGCUUUACUUAACGUAGUUUCUUGCAGUUACCUGAGAUUAAAUCAGCUUCAUCAUCCCAUCAGCCUUAGAGUACUGUUUCUCCCUUUUGGUACUAAAGGAUAAAAAUUAAAAAGUGUCCCAUACAUUAAAAAAUGGGUGGUUUUAACUGUGGAGUUAAACUGCUGAUGAAAGAAUCCUAUUGAAGUAACUACAAGGGGGCUGAUGUGUUAGGACUGAUACUUCUCAGAGAACACUUUCUGUGUUUAUUCAUCACACACACCCCUAACAGAAUCCACAGACCCUAAUGGAAUCUUUGUAAAAAAAUUUUUAGCUAGUUUUACCUUUGACAGUUGCUUCUGUUAUUAACUACCUGCAAAGUCUGGAUGAGCUAUGGUCCUCUAUGCCAGAUGAGUGCCAAGCCCAGUCAGGUAAGCCCUUCUAGUUAGUUAGCUCAAUUCCCAUUAUCAGUGAACAGCUUUAAAAAAAAUAUGAAUGAGAGAGAAGGGCUUAUAUGAUCACCCC